UACGUAGGUGGCAAGCGUUGUCCGGAUUUAUUGGGUUUAAAGGGUGCGUAGGCGGUUCAUUAAGUCAGUGGUGAAAUACGGCAGCUUAAAUGUCGAGGUGCCAUUGAUACUGGUGGACUUGAGUACUGAUGAGGUAGGCGGAAUGGACGGUGUAGCGGUGAAAUGCUUAGAGAUCGUCCAGAACACCGAUAGCGAAGGCUGCUUACUAAGGAGUAAAUGAAGCUGAGGCACGAAAGUGUGGGGAUCAAACAGG
rnacentral:rRNA from 1 species